rnacentral:lncRNA from 1 species
CAGAGAGGUCUCUUUCCACCAUGUAAGGAUAAAAGUACACGGAGAAGAUGGCAAUCUGCAAACUGGAAAAGGGCCCUCCUCAGAACCUGACCAUCUUGGCACCUUGAUCUCAGACUUCCAUCUUCCAGAACUGUGAGAAAUAAAUUUCUUUUAUAAACACUCAGUCAAUGCUACUUUAUUAUAGCAGCCUGAAUGGAUUAAGACAGGUGGUCUGGUUUAAAGUGAUGUGGUGGCAUCAGAAGUUUAAGGAGAGACUGGAUUUACAGAACCAGAAUCUGGGAUGCUGUUUACAGAGCAAGUUAUUUCCUGCAUUUGGACACUGUCAGCAGGUCGAUUCAGGAGACAGGUGAAAACUUUAUCACCGGGCAGCCUGGAUGAACACCACAACUUUGAUAUCUUUCACUUAAAGGAAAGAUAAGGGCAUCCACUAUUUCUACACCUGGCUGGCAGAGUGAGAGCUCACCAAAGGUGGCCACCCUGGUUGCUGUGGGACACCUGUCUCCUCCUGCCGUCCAAAAGAGCAAGAAGCACUAAACUCUGUCUUCGGUCAGCAUGACUCUCAGCCCAUGUAAGCUCACCUUGGCUGUACCCCGAGGAGGGAGAUCAAAGUAUAUGUUCCUACUGUCAGCUUUACUCACAUCCACAUCUUCUCCCUGCAUGUCCUUGGGUUGGAAGGAACAGCUUAUUUUUUGUCCUACAUCAGUGGUUCUUAAACUUUACUGUACCAAGAAAGCUUUUAAAAAAUGCUGAUGAUUGGGGCCUGCAGAUUCUCAGUCACUGAUCUGGAUAUGUCCUGCAUGUAAGAGUGUUUUGCAAAUCGUUUCUAAUGUGCAACCAGGAUUACAAAACGUUAUCUUGUAUCCUGAGUUCUCUCUACUCUUGGCAUAAAAUUAAAAUCUGUUAUAUC